GAUCAUGGCUCAGGACGAACGCUGGCGGCGUGCCUAAUACAUGCAAGUAGGAACGCUGAAGGAGGAGCUUGCUUCUCUGGAUGAGUUGCGAACGGGUGAGUAACGCGUAGGUAACCUGCCUGGUAGCGGGGGAUAACUAUUGGAAACGAUAGCUAAUACCGCAUAAGAGUAGAUGUUGCAUGACAUUUGCUUAAAAGGUGCAAUUGCAUCACUACCAGAUGG
rnacentral:rRNA from 1 species